AUUGAACGCUGGCGGCAUGCUUUACACAUGCAAGUCGAACGGUAACAGGUCUUCGGACGCUGACGAGUGGCGAACGGGUGAGUAAUGUAUCGGAACGUGCCCAGUAGUGGGGGAUAACUACUCGAAAGAGUGGCUAAUACCGCAUGAGAACUGAGGUUGAAAGCGGGGGACCUUCGGGCCUCGCGCUACUGGAGCGGCCGAUAUCAGAUUAGGUAGUUGGUGGGGUAAAGGCUCACCAAGCCAACGAUCUGUAGCUGGUCUGAGAGGACGACCAGCCACACUGGAACUGAGACACGGUCCAGACUCCUACGGGAGGCAGCAGUGGGGAAUUUUGGACAAUGGACGCAAGUCUGAUCCAGCCAUUCCGCGUGCAGGAUGAAGGCCCUCGGGUUGUAAACUGCUUUUGUACGGAACGAAAAGGUUUCUAUUAAUACUAGGAGCUCAUGACGGUACCGUAAGAAUAAGCACCGGCUAACUACGUG
rnacentral:rRNA from 1 species